rnacentral:rRNA from 1 species
GACGAACGCUGGCGGCGCGCCUAACACAUGCAAGUCGAACGGAGCGUUUUGGAAGAUUCUCUUCGGGGAUGAUUCUGGAAUUGCUUAGUGGCGAACGGGUGAGUAACACGUGAGCAACCUGCCCUAGAGUGGGGGACAACAUCUGGAAACGGAUGCUAAUACCGCAUAAGACCACGGAGCCGCAUGGUUCCGGGGCCAAAGGAUUUAUUCGCUUUAGGAUGGGCUCGCGCCUGAUUAGCUAGAUGGUGGGGUAAUGGCUUACCAUGGCAACGAUCAGUAGCCGGACUGAGAGGUCGAUCGGCCACAUUGGGACUGAGACACGGCCCAGACUCCUACGGGAGGCAGCAGUGGGGAAUAUUGGGCAAUGGGCGAAAGCCUGACCCAGCGACGCCGCGUGGAGGAAGAAGGUUUUCGGAUUGUAAACUCCUGUCUUCGGGGAAGAUAAUGACGGUACCCGAGGAGGAAGCCACGGCUAACUACGUGCCAGCAGCCGCGGUAACAC